GGGCCUGUAGCUCAGUUGGUUAGAGCGCACGCCUGAUAAGCGUGAGGUGGGUGGUUCAAAUCCACUCAGGCCCAC
rnacentral:tRNA from 1 species